CACGUAGGGGGCAAGCGUUGUCCGGAUUUAUUGGGCGUAAAGAGCUCGUAGGUGGUUCGGUAAGUCGGGUGUUAAACCCCCAGGCUCAACCUGGGGACGCCACUCGAUACUGCUGUGACUAGAGUCCGGUAGGGGAGCGUGAAAUUCCUGGUGUAGCGGUGAAAUGCGCAGAUAUCAGGAGGAACACCGAUGGCGAAGGCAGGUCUCUGGGCCGAUACUGACGCUGAGGAGCGAAAGCGUGGGGAGCGAACAGG
rnacentral:rRNA from 1 species